UACGUAGGUGGCAAGCGUUGUCCGGAAUUAUUGGGCGUAAAGCGCGCGCAGGCGGUCCUUUAAGUCUGAUGUGAAAGCCCACGGCUCAACCGUGGAGGGUCAUUGGAAACUGGGGGACUUGAGUACAGAAGAGGAAAGCGGAAUUCCACGUGUAGCGGUGAAAUGCGUAGAGAUGUGGAGGAACACCAGUGGCGAAGGCGGCUUUCUGGUCUGUAACUGACGCUGAGGCGCGAAAGCGUGGGUAGCAAACAGG
rnacentral:rRNA from 1 species